UGGGGAAUAUUGCACAAUGGGCGCAAGCCUGAUGCAGCAACGCCGCGUGAGGGAUGACGGCCUUCGGGUUGUAAACCUCUUUUAGUAGGGAAGAAGCGUAAGUGACGGUACCUACAGAAAAAGCACCGGCUAACUACGUGCCAGCAGCCGCGGUAAUACGUAGGGUGCAAGCGUUGUCCGGAAUUAUUGGGCGUAAAGAGCUCGUAGGCGGUUUGUCGCGUCUGCUGUGAAAUCCUAAGGCUCAACCUUAGACUUGCAGUGGGUACGGGCAGGCUUGAGUGCGGUAGGGGAGAUUGGAAUUCCUGGUGUAGCGGUGGAAUGCGCAGAUAUCAGGAGGAACACCGAUGGCGAAGGCAGAUCUCUGGGCCGCUACUGACGCUGAGGAGCGAAAGCAUGGGGAGCGAACAG
rnacentral:rRNA from 1 species